rnacentral:rRNA from 1 species
GCGUAAGCGCACGCAGGCGGUUUGUUAAGUCAGAUGUGAAAUCCCCGCGGCUUAACUUGGGAACUGCAUUUGAAACUGGCAAGCUAGAGUCUUGUAGAGGGGGGUAGAAUUCCAGGUGUAGCGGUGAAAUGCGUAGAGAUCUGGAGGAAUACCGGUGGCGAAGGCGGCCCCCUGGACAAAGACUGACGCUCAGGUGCGAAAGCGUGGGGAGCAAACAGGAUUAGAUACCCGUGGUAGUCCAA